UACGUAGGUGGCAAGCGUUGUCCGGAUUUACUGGGCGUAAAGAGCGCGCAGGCGGUCGUUCAAGUCGCGUGUGAAAGCCCCCGGCUCAACUGGGGAGGGUCACGCGAUACUGAUCGACUCGAAGGCAGGAGAGGGUAGUGGAAUUCCCGGUGUAGUGGUGAAAUGCGUAGAUAUCGGGGAGGAACACCAGUGGCGAAGGCGACUACCUGGCCUGUUCUUGACGCUGAGGCGCGAAAGCUAGGGGAGCAAACAGG
rnacentral:rRNA from 1 species